CAGUUUAAAUAUCCAAGAUGUGAAUACUAGUUCCAAAAGUCAGUUAACUGACAAUCGAUGUGCCCAGAACUCUGGGAUUCAAAACACACAAUUCACAGAAACCGACUGUGAUGAUCAAAGGAAACCGGACCGUGAGUGCCGGGGUCUGGAAAAACCUUGGGUAUGUAAACCAUCAGCGCCAGCACGGCUUGGCUGCGCGGCCACCAUGCCUGAACGGGAGGCGGAAAACACCCACCAUACCUCAGGAGUGACUUCCGGGACGUCGUCUUUCUCUUCUUUCUUGAGUUCUACCAGCUCUUGAAACUUCUUGCUCCUUCUGUAAGUCAGCCUUUGUCUGCAGCAGCUGCUUCACUUCCAACCUGAGCAUACAGAACCAGAGACAUUUCAAGUUCAUUAAACAAAAGAUCACAGUUACGCCGAGCGCCACACAGCAGGAGGAGCUUUCAGAGAAACAACGCAGUCCAACAUCCUCGCUUAUGAUGGUGGACAGACGACAGGGGCAGAGGAUAAGGAAAGGCACUUCUUGUAACUACACAGAACCAAGCACAGACCCGCGAGUCCCGACGCCCAGGCGGGCCUUCCUUCAGGUGUUUACUGAGCCCCUGCUGGGGGCCAGCGACUGUCCGGGGCCGGGAAAUUGGAGGUGUGCCUGAGCUGAGGCCUGGACGGAUGGCAGCGCGGGGUAGGGGUGGGGGUGACCCGGGUGACACGUGGCCAAGGACGUGGCUUUAAAACGAGACCUCUGCCUGCAUCUCAGUCCCACUGCUUACUGUGUGGUGACCUAACGUUUCAAGGUCCUGUUAAUCUCCAUGUGAAGGAGAUAAAACCCUGCGUUUAGCAGGGUCCCUGUCACCUAGUCAGGGCUCAAUAAAUGGAAACUAUCACCA